rnacentral:rRNA from 1 species
CUAACAAGGAUUCCCCUAGUAACUGCGAGUGAAGCGGGAAAAGCUCAAAUUUAAAAUCUGGUGGUCUUYGGCCAUCCGAGUUGUAAUCUAGAGAAGCAUUAUCCGUGCUGGACCGUGUAUAAGUCUCCUGGAAUGGAGCGUCAUAGAGGGUGAGAAUCCCGUCUUUGACACGGAUUACCAGUGCAUUGUGAUACGCUCUCAAAGAGUCGAGUUGUUUGGGAAUGCAGCUCUAAAUGGGUGGUAAGUUCCAUCUAAAGCUAAAUAUUGGCGAGAGACCGAUAGCGAACAAGUACCGUGAGGGAAAGAUGAAAAGAACUUUGGAAAGAGAGUUAAACAGUACGUGAAAUUGUUGAAAGGGAAACGCUUAAAGUCAGUCGCAUCGGCUAGGGAUCAACCUUGCUUYUGCUUGGUGCACUUCCUGGUUGAUGGGUCAGCAUCAAUUUUGACCAGUGGAAAAAGUUCAAGGGAAUGUGGCAUCUUCGGAUGUGUUAUAGCCUUUGUUCGCAUACAUUGGUUGGGAUUGAGGAAUUCAGCACGCCGCAAGGCCGGGUUUUCAACCACGUUCGUGCUUAGGAUGCUGGCAUAAUGGCUUUAAUCGACCC